rnacentral:rRNA from 1 species
AGAGUUUGAUCAUGGCUCAGAACGAACGCUGGCGGCAGGCUUAACACAUGCAAGUCGAACGCUGUAGCAAUACAGAGUGGCAGACGGGUGAGUAACGCGUGGGAACAUACCCUCCGGUUCGGAAUAACUCAGGGAAACUUGAGCUAAUACCGGAUACGGUCGUAAGGCGAAAGAUUUAUCGCCGGAGGAUUGGCCCGCGU